GGCCCAGAUCGUUUACCGUGAAAAAAUUAGAGUGUUCAAAGCAGGCAGAUCCAAUUUUCUGCCACCGAAUACAUUAGCAUGGGAUAAUGGAAUAGGACCCUGUCCUCCUAUUUUCAGUUGGUUUUGGCAGCGCGAGGACUAGGGUAAUGAUUAAUAGGGAUAGUUGGGGGCAUUAAUAUUUAAUUGUCAGAGGUGAAAUUCUUGGAUUUAUGAAAGAUUAACUUCUGCGAAAGCAUCUGCCAAGGAUGUUUUCAUUAAUCAAGAACGAAAGUUAGGGGAUCGAAGACGAUCAGAUACCGUCGUAGUCUUAACCAUAAACGAUGCCGACCAGCGAUUAGGAGACGUUGAAUACAAAACACCACCAUCGGUGCGGUCGUCCUUGGCGUUGGUCUUCAAAAGCCAGCGCGGGGGUGGCUUAGCCCGGUGGCACCGGUGAA
rnacentral:rRNA from 1 species